rnacentral:rRNA from 1 species
UGGGGAAUAUUGCACAAUGGGCGCAAGCCUGAUGCAGCCAUGCCGCGUGUGUGAAGAAGGCCUUUGGGUUGUAAAGCACUUUCAGCGGGGAGGAAGGCGGUGAGGUUAAUAACCUCAUCGAUUGACGUUACCCGCAGAAGAAGCACCGGCUAACUCCGUGCCAGCAGCCGCGGUAAUACGGAGGGUGCAAGCGUUAAUCGGAAUUACUGGGCGUAAAGCGCACGCAGGCGGUCUGUCAAGUCGGAUGUGAAAUCCCCGGGCUCAACCUGGGAACUGCAUUCGAAAAUGGCAGGCUAGAGUCUUGUAGAGGGGGGUAGAAUUCCAGGUGUAGCGGUGAAAUGCGUAGAGAUCUGGAGGAAUACCGGUGGCGAAGGCGGGCCCCUGGACAAAGACUGACGCUCAGGUGCGAAAGCGUGGGGAGCAAACAGG